UACGUAGGGUGCAAGCGUUAAUCGGAAUUACUGGGCGUAAAGCGUGCGUAGGCGGUUGCGCAAGACAGGUGUGAAAUCCCCGGGCUUAACCUGGGAAUUGCACUUGUGACUGUGCGGCUGGAGUGCGGCAGAGGGGGAUGGGAAUUCCGCGGUGUAGCAAGUGAAAUGCGUAGAGAUGCGGAGGAACACCGAUGGCGAAGGCAGCCCCCCUGGGCCAACACUGACGCUCAGGCACGAAAGCGUGGGGAGCAAACAGGA
rnacentral:rRNA from 1 species